ACGAACGCUGGCGGCAUGCCUAACACAUGCAAGUCGAACGAGACCUUCGGGUCUAGUGGCGCACGGGUGCGUAACGCGUGGGAACCUGCCCUUAGGUUCGGAAUAACUCAGAGAAAUUUGAGCUAAUACCGGAUAAUGUCUUCGGACCAAAGAUUUAUCGCCUUUGGAUGGGCCCGCGUAGGAUUAGCUUGUUGGUGGGGUAAUGGCCUACCAAGGCGACGAUCCUUAGCUGGUCUGAGAGGAUGAUCAGCCACACUGGGACUGAGACACGGCCCAGACUCCUACGGGAGGCAGCAGUGGGGAAUAUUGGACAAUGGGCGAAAGCCUGAUCCAGCAAUGCCGCGUGAGUGAUGAAGGCCUUAGGGUUGUAAAGCUCUUUUACCAGGGAUGAUAAUGACAGUACCUGGAGAAUAAGCUCCGGCUAACUCCGU
rnacentral:rRNA from 1 species